CGCACAUUGCGCCUUCAUUUAUCAAUGGAGGCAUGCCUGUUCGAGCGUCAGUACAACCUUCAAAACUUGAAUAAGUUUUGGUAUUGGGCAGUGUCUAGUAAGAUAUGCUUCAAAACUGCCGGCGGUCGUUUAUGGCUCCGGGCGUGGUAGAAUACACUUUUCGCCUUGGAAUUAUGAAUCGAUUAGCCUAACCCGGCUCUCGCUGGGAACAUUUUCUAGUUCGACCUCGAAUCAGACAGGGAUACCCGCUGAACUUAA
rnacentral:misc_RNA from 1 species